CUUCACAAAGCGAGAACCUGCCUGCUCCUUCAUGCACAGUUUUCAUUCGGUGCUAAAGCUGCAAAAAUGAGAUAAGCUGAAGCCAAAAGGUAUUUGGAAAGUGGAGAUGAAUAGGUCAGGAACUCUGUACUCUUUUUAAAGAACGUUAUCUAUUUGGCCUACUUAUUCUUUGGUCAUGAGUGCUUGAGGGAAGGCAAGGACGACAGGACAAAGAAGACUGGGAAUAACUGAAAACCUGGGCCUCAAAAGCAGUAGGGGAGAGGUGAUAUCUCCAGAGCAGCAGGACAGGCGAAUGGAGCAUUUGGUUCUCAAUUCGUUUAUAUUAAUUCAGCGAUUACAUCUCUAUGGGUAUCUGUAAACCCCUGCCGACCUCUCCCUCACCUUCAGUCCCACACUUCCACCCGCCUGAGGAACUCUUCCACUGUGUUGUCUCAUGCACGUUGGCCCCAAGCUUCAAUGCUCCAAAUUGACCUCAUCAUUCUUGCACCUCCCAGGCUUGAAACCUAGGAAUUAUUUUCAACUCCUACCUCUCCCUUGGCACAGGUACCCAAUUAGUCACCAUUUUAAUCAUCCGCUGCUGGUAAUCACUGUGACAUUUAUCCUAUUGUAUCUGGCAGUGAGAUGGCUGUGGCUGUCAAGCUGACACACAAAUCAAGCAGAAUAAAACCCCACCCAGAAAAGGCUGGCAUCAGCAUGGAACUCUGUUACAAACAUCAAAAGCAGUCUGUGGGCCGGGUGCAUUGACUCAUGCCUGUAAUCCUAGCACUUUGGGAAGCCGAGGCAGGAGAAUCACUUGAGCCAAGGAGCUCAAGACCAGCCUGAG
rnacentral:lncRNA from 1 species